rnacentral:rRNA from 1 species
AAUGAACGCUGGCGGCAUGCCUUACACAUGCCAGUCGAACGGCAGCAUGACCUAGCUUGCUAGGUUGAUGGCGAGUGGCGAACGGGUGAGUAAUGCAUCGGAACGUGCCUUUUAGUGGGGGAUAACGUAGCGAAAGUUACGCUAAUACCGCAUAUUCUCUGAGGAGGAAAGCAGGGGACCUUCGGGCCUUGCGCUAGAAGAGCGGCCGAUGUCGGAUUAGCUAGUUGGUGAGGUAAAGGCUCACCAAGGCAACGAUCCGUAGCGGGUCUGAGAGGAUGAUCCGCCACACUGGGACUGAGACAAGGCCCAGACUCCUACGGGAGGCAGCAGUGGGGAAUUUUGGACAAUGGGCGCAAGCCUGAUCCAGCCAUGCCGCGUGAGUGAAGAAGGCCUUCGGGUUGUAAAGCUCUUUCGGCUGGGAAGAAAUCGCACCCUCUAAUACAGGGUGUGGAUGACGGUACCAGCAUAAGAAGCACCGGCUAACUACGUG